AGCAGCCGCGGUAAUUCCAGCUCCAAUAGCGUAUAUUAAAGUUGUUGCAGUUAAAAAGCUCGUAGUUGAAUUUCGGGAUUGGCGCAUCGGUCGUGCCUCACGGGGUAUGAACUGGUGCAGUCAAUUUCUCACCUUCUGGAGAACCGCGAUGUCCUUAAUUGGAUGCCGCGGGGAACCAGGACCUUUACUUUGAAAAAAUUAGAGUGUUUAAAGCAGGCAUUUUUGCUUGAAUACAUUAGCAUGGAAUAAUAAAAUAGGACGGCAUGGUUCUAUUUUGUUGGUUUCUAGGACCACCGUAAUGAUUAAUAGGGAUAGUUGGGGGCAUUAGUAUUCAAUUGUCAGAGGUGAAAUUCUUGGAUUUAUUGAAGACUAACUACUGCGAAAGCAUUUGCCAAGGAUGUUUUCAUUAAUCAAGAACGAAAGUUAGGGGAUCGAAGACGAUCAGAUACCGUCGUAGUCUUAACCAUAAACUAUGC
rnacentral:ncRNA from 2 species